rnacentral:rRNA from 1 species
UACGAGGGGGGCGAGCGUUGUUCGGAAUUAUUGGGCGUAAAGGGUGCGUAGGCGGUUUGGUAAGUCUUAUGUGAAAUCUACAGGCUCAACUUGUAGUCUGCAUGAGAAACUGCCGGGCUUGAGUAUGGGAGAGGUGAGUGGAAUUCCUGGUGUAGCGGUGAAAUGCGUAGAUAUCAGGAGGAACACCUGUGGCGAAAGCGGCUCACUGGACCAUAACUGACGCUGAGACACGAAAGCGUGGGUAGCAAACAGG